rnacentral:lncRNA from 1 species
CCGUCCAGGCGGCGCUCCAGAGAAAUGCGGCCAGAGUGGACGCCAUGCCUUCCCGGCCUUUGCAGGACAGAGGCCAGUGAGCCCAGGGUCUGCCCGGUUUGCAAGCACCAUCCUCCAUAAAAAGCCUGGGACAAGGCUGUGCUAUGUGUGUGUGCUCCACAUCCAGGCUGCAGCAAUAAAACAAGCCCUUCUUCCACAAAGAGUCCCAAGACCUCUCGUUUCUUGUGUUGUUGCGGAAUUUUGUUUGGACACAGGUGAAGAAAGCAAACUGACAGCAGAACUUGUCUUCAAGAUAGUUCACUUUUGGCCAAGAGCAGGUGACAACGUUAGCUAAUGCCCAGAAAACGCAAUGCCACACCUUGCCUGUUGUGGCUUUCCAUUGUAUACAAUUUUACACAAGCAUGCGCAGAAAGCUAACUGACAAUGGAAUUUGCUGACGAUUAUCAUCCUUUUGGACAUUCGUAGUUGCCUUGUAAUUUAUAUAACUCAUUACUCAUUGCAUCAAGUGAAGUGUCCACAGUUUGUUCCAGGUUUGUCCUCAGGUGACUUGUUCAUAGUUCAUACCACAUAUGCAUUAUCCAGCAAGCCAAAUCAUUAUUGCAGUUUGCAUGACCUUACAUUGUGAGCAAAAAGCAAAUGUCAGAUAGAACAUGUCCUGUCAACACAUUUAAGAUUUUGAGUAAGGGUCAUCUAGGUAAGGGAUUUUCAGGAUUUUAUAAAGAAAAUAUUCAAGAGCUUGUGUCUUAGUGUCACCACCCUCACACUGCACUGCAGAGGAUUCGUUACAGAGAAUAUAGAGAACCAGUUAGAAUCCUACAACCAUCGGAUUGGGAGAGACCCCCUCCCAGGGCCACCCAGCCCAUCUCCUGCUGCACCCUCUUCCUGAGGAUACCCUUUCAUAUAUUUAUACAUGGCUCUCGUGUCCCUUCUCGACCUUCUCUUCCUCAGACAGAUCCAUGGUCUCCAGACUUCUGAUCAACUUAGUUGCCCUCAUCUGGACAUCUUCCAGCUUGGAGUCAAUCUCUUAAACUGUGGUGACCAGAAGUGGACACUGCAUCAUUCCAGGUGAAGAUGCCUGACCAAAGCCAAAUAGAGAGGCACCAUGACUUCCCUGGUCACUAGAUGUUAGGGAUUCAUCAUCUUCAGAAGCGGAAAGGGAGCAGGAAAGUGUUCAGGGAUUAGAGGGGGAGUUGGAAUCUGAGGAGGAGAUUUUGGAAGUACUCACCUUUCAGGAACGGCGAAAGGAAACAGAGCAGAGAUGCCGUUCAGCUAGAAUAGCUGGCAGAAACACUAAAGUAAUUGGGAACCACCCUAGCAACUAUGGUGUGAGGAACUCAGGGCUAUAAGUCAGAAGCAGGAGUAGUCAGCUUUCACUGGUAACAAGUUGACUUUAAUGCUUAAGCCUUCACUCCCCUUGUGCCUGCUUCGAGUCUGAGUUUGGGAAACGGCUCCUUAGGAUUUAUUGUUGUUUCUUUGUCUGAAGAAAGACUGCUGCUUGAUUUGGGAUUUUAUCAGAGACUUAAGAACUGCCUCUGCAGUUCUUAAG